GAGACCUCGGCAGAAAAAGCGCCUUGCACACUUCUAUCAAGUCUCACUCAAGCGAUCUGGCUGUCAGAGCGGUCAUCGUUAGAGAUCCAAGAGAACGACUGGAUGCAGAGGUUGGCUGAUGAUAGAUACUUCUAGAUCGUCUAAAUCUGCUAGACCUCGGUUCCAAAGAGGGUCGACCUGCAAAGUUGCAAGGUCUCGCUCUCGGUCCAGAGGGAGGAGAUACAGGCGCUCUCGCAGCCGCAGCAGAGGGAGGAGGAUCAAAGGAGCUGGACGAUAUCUUAAAACUGUGAACUCUUUGUGGCCUGUUUCAUCUUCACAAACGUACAGCUACUGAGUGUGUGCCCGAUCUGAGGAUGUUCUGGAUCUCUCUGCGCAUCACUUCAUAAGAGAGCUGCUGAAGCUACUGUACUGAUGGAGAAAUAUUGACUUUGAUACUGCUUUGGUUAAGCUUAUGCUGCUGUCACAUGAUGAAGGAACGACUCAAACCCGAAGACUCGUCAGAUAAGAGCGGAGGUCCAGGCCCCGCUCUCGCUCCCGAUCCGGCUCGGCUUCCAGGAACAGGGGACACAGUUAUGCUGCUGCGCUUGACCUGUGUUUGUGUUGAUGGAGACCUUCUGUUUCUUUAGGUCUGGAUCAGUCAGGAGAUCCAAAUCUGGCUCUCCGGCUAGGAGUCGGAGCCGCAGGGAGUGAGAGUCCAGAGCGAGACGACUGACGCUCCUGCUGUUCUUCUCCAAGCACCUCAGUUUGUUACCAGACGUUUACUGCAGAACAUUUAAAGUAAUAAUUCAAAAUGCAAGUUUGAUUGUAAGGAAGCUCUAAUGAGGAGUGGAAUAUUUUGAGUUGAUUUUUCUGUAGCUGAAGAGAGAGUUUGUGUGAUUUUUGUACCUCUUUGUUGUUACACACACUCUCUCACACACACACACACGUACACACACACACACACUCUCACACAUACA